CGGCUAUAUCACAUCGAAACCCGUUUCCCGUACGACUACCGAAGUUAAGCCACGUUGAACCUGGUUAGUACUUAGAUGGGUAACCUCUUGGAAUUACCACUUGUCGUAAG